rnacentral:rRNA from 1 species
AACGAACGCUGGCGGCAUGCCUAAUACAUGCAAGUCGAACGAAGGCUUCGGCCUUAGUGGCGCACGGGUGCGUAACGCGUGGGAAUCUGCCCUUGGGUUCGGAAUAACAUCGGGAAACUGAUGCUAAUACCGGAUGAUGACGUAAGUCCAAAGAUUUAUCGCCUAGGGAUGAGCCCGCGUAGGAUUAGCUUGUUGGUGAGGUAAAAGCUCACCAAGGCGACGAUCCUUAGCUGGUCUGAGAGGAUGAUCAGCCACACUGGGACUGAGACACGGCCCAGACUCCUACGGGAGGCAGCAGUGGGGAAUAUUGGACAAUGGGCGAAAGCCUGAUCCAGCAAUGCCGCGUGAGUGAUGAAGGCCUUAGGGUUGUAAAGCUCUUUUACCCGGGAUGAUAAUGACAGUACCGGGAGAAUAAGCCCCGGCUAACUCCGUGCCAGCAGCCGCCGUAAAAC